rnacentral:rRNA from 1 species
AAUUUUGCGCAAUGGGCGAAAGCCUGACGCAGCAACGCCGCGUGUGUGAUGAAGGUCUUCGGAUUGUAAAGCACUUUCGACCGGGACGAAACCCUGGGUGCUAAUCAGCCCAGCUUGACGGUACCGGGAGAAGAAGCACCGGCUAACUCUGUGCCAGCAGCCGCGGUAAUACAGAGGGUGCAAGCGUUGUUCGGAAUUAUUGGGCGUAAAGCGCGUGUAGGCGGCUUUGCAAGUCGGGUGUGAAAGCCCUCAGCUCAACUGAGGAAGUGCGCCCGAAACUGCAGAGCUUGAGUGCCGGAGAGGGUGGCGGAAUUCCCCAAGUAGAGGUGAAAUUCGUAGAUAUGGGGAGGAACACCGGUGGCGAAGGCGGCCACCUGGACGGUGACUGACGCUGAGACGCGAAAGCGUGGGGAGC